GACGAACGCUGGCGGCGUGCCUAAUACAUGCAAGUUGAGCGAUGAAGAUUGGUGCUUGCACCAAUUUGAAGAGCAGCGAACGGGUGAGUAACGCGUGGGGAAUCUGCCUUUGAGCGGGGGACAACAUUUGGAAACGAAUGCUAAUACCGCAUAACAACUUUAAACAUAAGUUUUAAGUUUGAAAGAUGCAAUUGCAUCACUCAAAGAUGAUCCCGCGUUGUAUUAGCUAGUUGGUGAGGUAAAGGCUCACCAAGGCGAUGAUACAUAGCCGACCUGAGAGGGUGAUCGGCCACAUUGGGACUGGGACACGGCCCAAACUCCUACGGGAGGCAGCAGUAGGGAAUCUUCGGCAAUGGACGAAAGUCUGACCGAGCAACGCCGCGUGAGUGCAGAAGGUUCUCGGAUCGUAAAACUCUGUUGGUAGAGAAGAACGUUGGUGAGAGUGGAAAGCUCAUCAAGUGACGGUAACUACCCAGAAAGGGACGGCUAACUACGUG
rnacentral:rRNA from 1 species